GGGUUGUGAGGUUAAGCGACUAAGCGUACACGGUGGAUGCCCUGGCAGUCAGAGGCGAUGAAGGACGUGCUAAUCUGCGAUAAGCGUCGGUAAGGUGAUAUGAACCGUUAUAACCGGCGAUUUCCGAAUGGGGAAACCCAGUGUGAUUCGUCACACUAUCAUUAACUGAAUCCAUAGGUUAAUGAGGCGAACCGGGGGAACUGAAACAUCUAAGUACCCCGAGGAAAAGAAAUCAACCGAGAUUCCCCCAGUAGCGGCGAGCGAACGGGGAGCAGCCCAGAGCCUGAAUCAGUGUGUGUGUUAGUGGAAGCGUCUGGAAAGGCGCGCGAUACAGGGUGACAGCCCCGUACACAAAAAUGCACAUGCUGUGAGCUCGAUGAGUAGGGCGGGACACGUGGUAUCCUGUCUGAAUAUGGGGGGACCAUCCUCCAAGGCUAAAUACUCCUGACUGACCGAUAGUGAACCAGUACCGUGAGGGAAAGGCGAAAAGAACCCCGGCGAGGGGAGUGAAAAAGAACCUGAAACCGUGUACGUACAAGCAGUGGGAGCACGCUUAGGCGUGUGACUGCGUACCUUUUGUAUAAUGGGUCAGCGACUUAUAUUCUGUAGCAAGGUUAACCGAAUAGGGGAGCCGAAGGGAAACCGAGUCUUAACUGGGCGUUAAGUUGCAGGGUAUAGACCCGAAACCCGGUGAUCUAGCCAUGGGCAGGUUGAAGGUUGGGUAACACUAACUGGAGGACCGAACCGACUAAUGUUGAAAAAUUAGCGGAUGACUUGUGGCUGGGGGUGAAAGGCCAAUCAAACCGGGAGAUAGCUGGUUCUCCCCGAAAGCUAUUUAGGUAGCGCCUCGUGAAUUCAUCUCCGGGGGUAGAGCACUGUUUCGGCAAGGGGGUCAUCCCGACUUACCAACCCGAUGCAAACUGCGAAUACCGGAGAAUGUUAUCACGGGAGACACACGGCGGGUGCUAACGUCCGUCGUGAAGAGGGAAACAACCCAGACCGCCAGCUAAGGUCCCAAAGUCAUGGUUAAGUGGGAAACGAUGUGGGAAGGCCCAGACAGCCAGGAUGUUGGCUUAGAAGCAGCCAUCAUUUAAAGAAAGCGUAAUAGCUCACUGGUCGAGUCGGCCUGCGCGGAAGAUGUAACGGGGCUAAACCAUGCACCGAAGCUGCGGCAGCGACGCUUAUGCGUUGUUGGGUAGGGGAGCGUUCUGUAAGCCUGUGAAGGUGUGCUGUGAGGCAUGCUGGAGGUAUCAGAAGUGCGAAUGCUGACAUAAGUAACGAUAAAGCGGGUGAAAAGCCCGCUCGCCGGAAGACCAAGGGUUCCUGUCCAACGUUAAUCGGGGCAGGGUGAGUCGACCCCUAAGGCGAGGCCGAAAGGCGUAGUCGAUGGGAAACAGGUUAAUAUUCCUGUACUUGGUGUUACUGCGAAGGGGGGACGGAGAAGGCUAUGUUGGCCGGGCGACGGUUGUCCCGGUUUAAGCGUGUAGGCUGGUUUUCCAGGCAAAUCCGGAAAAUCAAGGCUGAGGCGUGAUGACGAGGCACUACGGUGCUGAAGCAACAAAUGCCCUGCUUCCAGGAAAAGCCUCUAAGCAUCAGGUAACAUCAAAUCGUACCCCAAACCGACACAGGUGGUCAGGUAGAGAAUACCAAGGCGCUUGAGAGAACUCGGGUGAAGGAACUAGGCAAAAUGGUGCCGUAACUUCGGGAGAAGGCACGCUGAUAUGUAGGUGAAGUCCCUCGCGGAUGGAGCUGAAAUCAGUCGAAGAUACCAGCUGGCUGCAACUGUUUAUUAAAAACACAGCACUGUGCAAACACGAAAGUGGACGUAUACGGUGUGACGCCUGCCCGGUGCCGGAAGGUUAAUUGAUGGGGUUAGCGCAAGCGAAGCUCUUGAUCGAAGCCCCGGUAAACGGCGGCCGUAACUAUAACGGUCCUAAGGUAGCGAAAUUCCUUGUCGGGUAAGUUCCGACCUGCACGAAUGGCGUAAUGAUGGCCAGGCUGUCUCCACCCGAGACUCAGUGAAAUUGAACUCGCUGUGAAGAUGCAGUGUACCCGCGGCAAGACGGAAAGACCCCGUGAACCUUUACUAUAGCUUGACACUGAACAUUGAGCCUUGAUGUGUAGGAUAGGUGGGAGGCUUAGAAGUGUGGACGCCAGUCUGCAUGGAGCCGACCUUGAAAUACCACCCUUUAAUGUUUGAUGUUCUAACGU
rnacentral:rRNA from 1 species